AUUAAAACACCAUCCAAUGAUAACCGACCGGACCGAAUCCGAAGAUAAGCAAACGGUCGGUUUUAUUCGGUUUAACGGAUUGAACGGGUGAAACUAACGGUCUACUUAGGGUCUGCAUGGUCGGGUUCGGAUGGAUUGAUUGGGCCCGUCGGACCCCGAACCCGACCGAUACCAUAUUUACUCUAUGUAACUGCUACUGAUAAUGGCCCAACCCAGUGCAAAGAGUUCUCUGGCCCAAUCCAUUUCUCAAACCCUAACCUUAUAAACACAUCACACUAACACCAUUACUCUGAAAUUGUCCAAAUCGUUUCAUCUUUUUCUCGCCGCCGUCACCAUGCGUUGAAAUCUAAACCCUAAACAACUCAUCCAUCUUUGUCGUUAUGACCAACCCCGCCGUUCCUCCCUCAUCCUCACAUACCCUUUAAUAAGAAGCUGAGAAAGGUGGAUCUACCCCUUUAAAGCCAUGAACUUCUUCAAAAGAUCAGAUCUAAGUGUCUGGAAGUCAUGAGAAGCAUAAAACGAACACAUUGGAUAAAGCAUGAUGUUUCUUUGGGACCUUACACAUAUCAGAUCUAAUGUCUGGAAGUAAUGAGAAGCUGAAAAUAGUGGUAAUUUUGGAGUCUCCAUUAGAAAGAAGGGAGAAGAAUCUAUAUUUAAUAUUUAGGGAAUAUUAUUGGAAAAUAUAAUUAUAUUAGAUUUAAAUUUCAUUGAAUGUAUAUUUUUAAUAGGCCCAAUUAAUAUUUAGUGAAUAUUAUUGGAAACUGUAAUAAUAUUAGAUUUAAAUUUCA